rnacentral:lncRNA from 1 species
UUACAUAGCACUUAUUAUUAUUGUUAUGCACAUAUUUUAAAUAUUAACAGAAGAAAAUGUGUUUCCCCUCGUCAUUGCAUUUUAAUAAAUUAUCAGAGGUAAUUCAAGUUUGGUUUAAUUUUCUAUAUUGAUUUAGUCUAAUGUGUGUGCAGGUCGAGUCACCCCAUUCACGAAUUAGUCCCAAUUAGUUCCAUGUGUUGAUUGCUUUCUUCCCCAUUUGCAUGAAGUUACCCAUCCCUUUGUCCACGUCAUCUUUUCCGUGUGCACCAAGCUUCCCAACUUAACAAAACAGAGGCCUCUCCCAUUUUCUCCACGUAUCCACACUUU